rnacentral:lncRNA from 1 species
AUUUCCUUAUAACUCAGCCUCAAGCAGCAAAGGUGUUUUUAUUUUGGGGGGAAUGAAAGUAAAGUCAGUCACAUAAACAAAAAAUAAACCCAAAACAAACAAGCAAACAAAAACAACAAAGAAAAUUCAAUUACUCUCACAAAGUUCAAGUUUGUGUGAAAGCUUCAUUCAAAGCUUAGAAGCCUUGGUAGGGCCUCCAGGCCCCUGCCUUGUUCACAGUCUUCAAAAGAGGCCUGUGUGGUACAGCUGUCCUCAACCAUACCACCUACAGACUGCACACUCCUCUCAUAGACCUGGUAAUCUCUAAGACUGUUCUGGCCCCAGGACAAGGACCAACUCCUCAGUUUUUAUUUUAGAAAACCCAGCCCCUUUCCUUUCUCAAGGCCAUGGAUCUCUUAGGUACACAUUCACAAGCAAUGUUUGUUUCACUAACAGCUCAUUCUGCUUCCUGGUUCUCACUAUCAGCUCCACAGUUAGAGCACCACACCUACUCCACCACUCCCUCAACCCACCCCCCACACAGACACCCACAAAGGAAACAGUGUUUAAGACUAAACAGUCUCUCAUUGCCAAACCACAGUAUAACUGUGUCUUACCCUAUGACAAUUCAAUGUACUAUAAACCAGCACUAUUUAUAAAGAAUAUUGACAUAGUUCCACUUAAAAGCAUUAAAGCCCUCAGCUCAAACAAUCAUUUGACAGGAAAAAGGUAUCCAUACGGCAGUGUACACAUAAACGUAUAUAGAUCAUCCAUUUAAAGAUAAGGUACUUUAUGUUUUCUUGUGCUGAGGCGACUUUUCUGUCAUAUCCCCACACAUAUCCCCAGUCCCUCUAAAACAGGAUCUCACUCUGUUAGUUGCAGCUGACCUGGAACUCCCUAUGUUGACCAGGCUGGCCUCAAAUUCAGCAUGCCUCUGCCUCCUAAGUACUGGGAUUAGUGGCAUAAGCUGCCCUACCCAGCUUCACUUUUAGAUAAUUUUUAUAAUGCCCAUAUUCCAGAAAUUUCAAAUUCUCUUGAGUAAAGGUCAGGUGAUACAGAAAAAUAGGAGUGAUUAGAGAGCCAUGUUCUAAUUUAUCAAGGUAUAUGUCUGACACUUUGGGGAUUAUUUUUUUGUGGGGGAUUAUUUUUCAAAAACAAAUAUUCACAUAACAAUAUGGGUAUAUGACUAUGUAUUAGAAAAAGGAAUUUAUAUAACAUUGCUAUUACCAGUCAACCAAGGCCAUUGAACAUUGCAAGAAUCUAGUGGAAGCAGAUGUAAUUGAAUAUCCUUGUAAUCCUACCACUAUGGAUGCUGAGACUGGAGAAUUGUAAUUGGAAGCAAGCAAAAGACCUUGUCUUAAAGUAAAUUAAAAAUAAUUUACUGACUGUGGAAGGGCUUUAAGGUAGAUAAAGAAAAUCCUGGGCUGGAAAGAAAGCUCAGAGGUUAAGAGCAUUGACUGCUCUUUCAAAGGUCCCGAGUUCAAAUCCCAGCAACCACAUGGUGGCUCACAACCAUCUGUAACAAAAUCUUACUCCUCUUCUGGAGUGUCUGAACACAGCUACAGUGUACUUACAUAUAAUAAAUAAAUAAAUCUUGAAAAAAAUGAAGGAAGGAAGGAAGAAAGAGAGAAAGAGAAAGAAAGAGAAAAUCCAAAAUAUUUCUUACCAUCUAACCUUUUCCCCAGUGGUCAUUGAACAUACCUCUAACCUUUCUGACUUUAGGUAGUCUCUCUUUCUCUACUUGCAACAAUCAUAUGUCUCGACAUUUCCAAGAUUCUGUCAGACCUUUAUGGCAAAAGGAACUCUCCUUGUUUACAACCCCUCAAGGGGCUAGAGAAGUGGGUUAUUAAUAAGAGCACAUGCAGUUCUUGAGGGGAACAGGGCUCCAAGCACUCACAUCAAGUGGCUCACAAUCACCUGUAACUCCAGUUCCCAAGGAAGCAAAACCCUCCUCUUGUCCAGGCACCUGCAUUUCCAUGGCACUCCAACAUGUACUCAACAUCCAUAUACAUAUGCAUAAGUAAGAAAACAGAAAAAUGAGUGACUUCCUGUGGUUAUGUGGGUAAAAGAUUGAACUCCGAUAUAAUUUUUGAGACAUCAUAGGAAUCAAACUUCACCCAACAGAGUUUAAACUAGAUUAGACU